rnacentral:ncRNA from 2 species
GUAGCCUUGCGCUUUCGAGGUUCUUCGGCGUCUGUCGAAGCUAAGAAGGGAACGCGGUCCAAGCCGCGGCUGCCCCCGCAACUGUAAACGGUGAUGAACGAUGCAAGGCCACUGCCAGGCGGCGGGAAGGCGCAUCGUUGGCCAGUCGAACGACCGGCACACCGUCAGCCAGGAGACCUGCCUCGGACCUGAUUCUCAC